UACGUAGGGGGCUAGCGUUGUCCGGAAUCAUUGGGCGUAAAGAGCGUGUAGGCGGCCCGGUAAGUCCGCUGUGAAAGUCCAGGGCUCAACCCUGGGAUGCCGGUGGAUACUGUCGGGCUCGAGUCCGGAAGAGGCGAGUGGAAUUCCUGGUGUAGCGGUGAAAUGCGCAGAUAUCAGGAGGAACACCAAUGGCGAAGGCAGCUCGCUGGGACGUGACUGACGCUGAGACGCGAAAGCUAGGGGAGCAAACGGG
rnacentral:rRNA from 1 species